AGAGUUUGAUCCUGGCUCAGGGUGAACGCUGGCGGCGCGCUUAAUGCAUGCAAGUCGCGCGUGUCCGUGGCUUCGGCCACAUAUGGAAAAGCGGCAGACGGCUGAGUAACGCGUGAGUAACCUGCCCUCUGGUGGGGUAUAGCCACGAGAAAUCGUGAUUAAUCCCGCAUAAGAUCUCUUUACCUUGGUAUUGAGAUGAAAGCCUUCGGGCGCCGGAGGAGGGGCUCGCGUCCUAUCAGGUUGUUGGUGAGGUAAUGGCUCACCAAGCCUAUGACGGGUAGCUGGUCUGAGAGGACGACCAGCCAGAGGGGGACUGAGACACGGCCCCCACUCCUACGGGAGGCAGCAGCAGGGAAUCUUGGGCAAUGGGCGAAAGCCUGACCCAGCGACGUCGCGUGGAGGAAGAAGGCUUUUGGGCUGUAAACUCCUUUUCCAAGGGAAGAGAAAGGACGGUACCUUGGGAAUAAGCUCCGGCUAACUACGUGCCAGCAGCCGCGGUAAUACGUAGGGAGCGAGCGUUACCCGGAAUUACUGGGCGUAAAGUGCGCGUAGGCGGCUUGGUAAGUCUCUUGUGAAAGCUCCUGGCUUAACUGGGAGAGGUCAAGGGAAACUAUCUAGCUAGAGGGCAGCAGAGGAAAGCGGAAUUCUCGGUGUAGCGGUGAAAUGCGUAGAUAUCGAGAGGAACACCAGUGGCGAAGGCGGCUUUCUGGGCUGUACCUGACGCUGAGGCGCGAGAGCGUGGGGAGCAAACAGGAUUAGAUACCCUGGUAGUCCACGCC
rnacentral:rRNA from 1 species